UACGAGAGGCCCAAACGUUAUUCGGAAUUACUGGGCUUAAAGAGUUCGUAGGCGGCGCAGAAAGUCGGACGUGAAAUCCCUCGGCUCAACCGAGGAACUGCGUCCGAUACUGGCAGGCUGGAAUCCGGGAGAGGGAUGUGGAAUUCCAGGUGUAGCGGUGAAAUGCGUAGAUAAUCUGGAGGAACACCGGUGGCGAAGGCGGCGAUCCUGGACCGGUAUUGACGCUGAGGCGACGAAA
rnacentral:rRNA from 1 species